rnacentral:piRNA from 1 species
UGCAAAACCAUAAAGCACAAUUGGCUGCUGC